GAUGAACGCUGGCGGCGUGCCUAAUACAUGCCAGUCGAGCGAACAGACGAGGAGCUUGCUCCUUCGACGUUAGCGGCGGACGGGUGAGUAACACGUAGGUAACCUACCUAUAAGACUGGGAUAACUUCGGGAAACCGGAGCUAAUACCGGAUAAUAUUUCGAACCGCAUGGUUCGAUAAUGAAAGAUGGCUUUGCUAUCACUUAUAGAUGGACCUGCGCCGUAUUAGCUAGUUGGUAAGGUAACGGCUUACCAAGGCAACGAUACGUAGCCGACCUGAGAGGGUGAUCGGCCACACUGGAACUGAGACACGGUCCAGACUCCUACGGGAGGCAGCAGUAGGGAAUCUUCCGCAAUGGGCGAAAGCCUGACGGAGCAACGCCGCGUGAGUGAUGAAGGUCUUCGGAUCGUAAAACUCUGUUAUUAGGGAAGAACAAACGUGUAAGUAACUGUGCACGUCUUGACGGUACCUAAUCAGAAAGCCACGGCUAACUACGUG
rnacentral:rRNA from 1 species